rnacentral:lncRNA from 1 species
UGGGAUCACCAAACCACUGUUGAGUGUUCAGGUUGCCAGCAGCAUUGACCAUUUCUGAGUUGGUGAGAUAUGCCCUGCUCCAGGAGGACCAGCCAGCCACUCAGAGCCUGGAAAAAGAUCCAUGAAAUGAAGGUUGUCCAUGCUUAAAUUCAUGUUUUAUGGCUCAAAGAUCAAACCAUUUAUUGAACAAAGUGAAGGGAAGACAGAAAUCGGUAAUUGUGGCUGACACACUGGAGAGGGGCUGAAAGUUGGGAAUUUGAG